rnacentral:rRNA from 1 species
UACGUAGGGGGCAAGCGUUGUCCGGAUUUAUUGGGCGUAAAGAGCGUGUAGGCGGCUUGGCAAGUCUGCUGUGAAAACUCGAGGCUCAACCUCGAGCUGUCGGCGGAAACUGCUUGGCUAGAGUCCGGAAGAGGAGAGUGGAAUUCCUGGUGUAGCGGUGAAAUGCGCAGAUAUCAGGAAGAACACCUAUGGCGAAGGCAGCUCUCUGGGACGGUACUGACGCUGAGACGCGAAAGCGUGGGGAGCGAACAGG